rnacentral:rRNA from 1 species
ACCCGCUGAACUUAAGCAUAUCAAUAAGCGGAGGAAAAGAAACCAACAGGGAUUGCCCUAGUAACGGCGAGUGAAGCGGCAACAGCUCAAAUUUGAAAUCUGGCGUCUUUGGCGUCCGAGUUGUAAUUUGCAGAGGGCGCUUUGGCAUUGGCAGCGGUCCAAGUUCCUUGGAACAGGACGUCACAGAGGGUGAGAAUCCCGUACGUGGUCGCUAGCCUUUACCGUGUAAAGCCCCUUCGACGAGUCGAGUUGUUUGGGAAUGCAGCUCUAAAUGGGAGGUAAAUUUCUUCUAAAGCUAAAUACUGGCCAGAGACCGAUAGCGCACAAGUAGAGUGAUCGAAAGAUGAAAAGCACUUUGGAAAGAGAGUUAAAAAGCACGUGAAAUUGUUGAAAGGGAAGCGCUUGCAGCCAGACUUGCCUGUAGUUGCUCAUCCGGGUUUUUACCCGGUGCACUCUUCUAUAGGCAGGCCAGCAUCAGUUUGGGCGGUUGGAUAAAGGUCUCUGUCACGUACCUCCUCUCGGGGAGAACUUAUAGGGGAGACGUAAUGCAACCAGCCUGGACUGAGGUCCGCGCAUCUGCUAGGAUGCUGGCGUAAUGGCUGUAAGCGGCCCGUCUUGAAACACGGACCAAGGAGUCUAACAUCUAUGCGAGUGUUUGGGUGUCAAGCCCGAGCGCGUAAUGAAAGUGAACGGAGGUGGGAACCUUUCGGGGUGCACCAUCGACCGAUCCUGAUGUCUUCGGAUGGAUUUGAGUAAGAGCACAGCUGUUGGGACCCGAAAGAUGGUGAACUAUGCUUGAAUAGGGUGAAGCCAGAGGAAACUCUGGUGGAGGCUCGCAGCGGUUCUGACGUGCAAAUUGAUCGUCAAAUUUGGGCAUAGGGGCGAAAGACUAAUCGAACUAUCUAGUA